GAUCAUGGCUCAGGAUGAACGCUAGCUACAGGCUUAACACAUGCAAGUCGAGGGGCAGCAUGAAAGGAACUUCGGUUAUUUUUGAUGGCGACCGGCGCACGGGUGCGUAACGCGUAUCGAACCUGCCUCAUACUCGGGGAUAGCCUUGCGAAAGUAAGAUUAAUACCCGGCGGUCUCGGAUGGCCGCAUGACUAUCCGAGUGAAGAUUUUAUCGGUAUGAGAUGGCGAUGCGU
rnacentral:rRNA from 1 species